UUAACUUUUGCAUUCUUCGAAUCAUGGCUGGUACGACCCUUAGUAUAAGCUCAUGGAUUUUUGGUACGUUUUUCAUCCCUCUCGUCUUAUCCUCUUAACACUUAACACCUGCAAACCUUAAAUCUAUACUUUCUUUUCACGAUGCCUUGGUACGAUUUUGACAUUUUCCUAUGACCUUGGAACCCUCUCAUUUGAUUGAUUCACACUUAAUUCUUGCAACACUUAUUUUAGGACCCUCUUUCCACGAUCAAUUUAUACGAUUGUAG
rnacentral:lncRNA from 1 species